rnacentral:tRNA from 1 species
GCCCUGUUAGUGUAAUGGAUUAGCACAAGACUCUUCUAAAGUUUUAGUACAGGUUCGAAUCCUGUACGGGGUA